UACGUAGGGGGCAAGCGUUGUCCGGAAUCAUUGGGCGUAAAGAGCGUGUAGGCGGCCAUUUAAGUCCUGCGUGAAAUCCUGCGGCUCAACCGCAGGGCUGCCUUCUAAACUGUCAGGCUAGAGCACAGUAGAGGCAGGUGGAAUUCCCGGUGUAGCGGUGGAAUGCGUAGAGAUCGGGAAGAACAUCAGUGGCGAAGGCGGCCUGCUGGGCUGUUGCUGACGCUGAGGCGCGACAGCGUGGGGAGCAAACAGG
rnacentral:rRNA from 1 species